rnacentral:rRNA from 1 species
UACGUAGGUGGCAAGCGUUGUCCGGAUUUAUUGGGUUUAAAGGGUGCGUAGGCGGCCCUGUAAGUCAGUGCUGAAAUAUCCCGGCUUAACCGGGAGGGUGGCAUUGAUACUGCGGGGCUUGAGCAAAGUUGAGGUUGGCGGAAUUGACGGUGUAGCGGUGAAAUGCUUAGAUAUCGUCAAGAACACCUAUAGCGAAGGCAGCUAACUAAACUUUAACUGACGCUGAGGCACGAAAGUGUGGGGAUCAAACAGG